rnacentral:rRNA from 1 species
AUGAACGCUGGCGGCGUGCCUAAUACAUGCAAGUCGAGCGAACGGACGAGAAGCUUGCUUCUCUGAUGUUAGCGGCGGACGGGUGAGUAACACGUGGAUAACCUACCUAUAAGACUGGGAUAACUUCGGGAAACCGGAGCUAAUACCGGAUAAUAUUUUGAACCGCAUGGUUCAAAAGUGAAAGACGGUCCUGCUGUCACUUAUAGAUGGAUCCGCGCUGCAUUAGCUAGUUGGUAAGGUAACGGCUUACCAAGGCAACGAUGCAUAGCCGACCUGAGAGGGUGAUCGGCCACACUGGAACUGAGACACGGUCCAGACUCCUACGGGAGGCAGCAGUAGGGAAUCUUCCGCAAAGGGCGAAAGCCUGACGGAGCAACGCCGCGUGAGUGAUGAAGGUCUUCGGAUCGUAAAACUCUGUUAUUAGGGAAGAACAUAUGUGUAAGUAACUGUGCACAUCUUGACGGUACCUAAUCAGAAAGCCACGGCUAACUACGUG